AAGAAGUAGCUUAAGAAAUGGAAUCUGGUAGCACCACAUGAGAGACACGUCUCAGUUUUUGUGGUUCUACCACUCCUUCUCCUACAAACAUUUAAGUCGGGUUGCACAUUAGAAGGAGACCUCUUUGAGCAUCUGCAGAAGGGGUGUGUUUUUUUCUGCAGGGGGCAAUGCCUGUCAGCUUUGGAAGCCAUAUUAGGCCGGAAGCUUCCAUGCUGCCACCUUCUCAUGUGUGGGAAAGUAGGAGUGGGGGAUUUAGAAGAGGGGUUGUCUGUAGACAUAAUAGCAUUCUUCCUGUCGGUCAAGGUCAGGGCAAUCCUGCAUCUGGAGAAGGAGUGGUUGGAAUGAUGUCUCGAGAUGGGACGGUGGUUGAUUGGAGCAUGUGAUCGUCUGAGGACUGAAGGGAUGGUUUUGGGGUUUUUGA